AGUGAACGCUGGCGGUAGGCCUAACACAUGCAAGUCGAACGGCAGCACAGUAAGAGCUUGCUCUUACGGGUGGCGAGUGGCGGACGGGUGAGGAAUACAUCGGAAUCUACUUUUUCGUGGGGGAUAACGUAGGGAAACUUACGCUAAUACCGCAUACGACCUACGGGUGAAAGCAGGGGAUCUUCGGACCUUGCGCGAUUGAAUGAGCCAAUGUCGGAUUAGCUAGUUGGCGGGGUAAAGGCCCACCAAGGCGACGAUCCGUAGCUGGUCUGAGAGGAUGUCAGGCACAAUUGGACCUGAGCACCGUCCUGGCUCCCGACGGGAGGAAGCAGGGGGGAAAAUUGAAAAAGGGGCGAAAGCUUGUUCCAGCCAUCCCGCGUGGUGGAAGAAGGCCUUCGGGUUGUAAAGCCCUUUUGUUGGGAAAGAAAAGAAGAAGGUUAAUCCCCGGCUGUUCUGAGGGUACCAAAAGAAUAAGCACCGGUUAACUUCGU
rnacentral:rRNA from 1 species